CGGAGGGUGCAAGCGUUAUCCGGAUUCACUGGGUUUAAAGGGUGCGUAGGUGGGUUUGUAAGUCAGUGGUGAAAUCUCCGAGCUUAACUCGGAAACUGCCAUUGAUACUAUAGAUCUUGAAUUAUCUGGAGGUGAGCGGAAUAUGUCAUGUAGCGGUGAAAUGCUUAGAUAUGACAUAGAACACCAAUUGCGAAGGCAGCUCACUACGGAUAUAUUGACACUGAGGCACGAAAGCGUGGGGAUCAAACAGGAUUAGAUACCCUGGUAGUCCACGCCCUAAACGAUGGAUACUCGACAUCAGCGAUACACUGUUGGUGUCUGAGCGAAAGCAUUAAGUAUCCCACCUGGGAAGUACGACCGCAAGGUUG
rnacentral:rRNA from 1 species